rnacentral:rRNA from 1 species
GGGUGAGUAACACGUGGGCAACCUGCCUGUAAGACUGGGAUAACUUCGGGAAACCGGAGCUAAUACCGGAUAACACCGAGGACCUCAUGGUCCUUGGUUGAAAGAUGGCUUCGGCUAUCACUUACAGAUGGGCCCGCGGCGCAUUAGCUAGUUGGUGAGGUAACGGCUCACCAAGGCGACGAUGCGUAGCCGACCUGAGAGGGUGAUCGGCCACACUGGGACUGAGACACGGCCCAGACUCCUACGGGAGGCAGCAGUAGGGAAUCUUCCGCAAUGGACGAAAGUCUGACGGAGCAACGCCGCGUGAGCGAUGAAGGCCUUCGGGUCGUAAAGCUCUGUUGUUAGGGAAGAACAAGUACCGUUCGAAUAGGGCGGUACCUUGACGGUACCUAACCAGAAAGCCACGGCUAACUACGUGCCAGCAGCCGCGGUAAUACGUAGGUGGCAAGCGUUGUCCGGAAUUAUUGGGCGUAAAGCGCGCGCAGGCGGUUCCUUAAGUCUGAUGUGAAAGCCCACGGCUCAACCGUGGAGGGUCAUUGGAAACUGGGGAACUUGAGUGCAGAAGA